rnacentral:rRNA from 1 species
UACGGGGGGGGCAAGCGUUGUUCGGAAUUACUGGGCGUAAAGGGCUCGUAGGCGGCCAACUAAGUCGGAUGUGAAAUCCCCAGGCUCAACUUGGGAACUGCAUCCGAUACUGGAUGGCUUGAAUUCGGGAGAGGGAUGCAGAAUUCCAGGUGUAGCGGUGAAAUGCGUAGAUAUCUGGAGGAACACCAGUGGCGAAAGCGCGUGACUGGGCCACAACUGACGCUGAGGAACGAAAGCCAGGGUAGCGAAAGGG